CACAGACACACGAAAACCACCUGGAAGCAAGAACUGAACUGAGGAGAGGAGGGUUGAGCUGGAGCUGGAAGGACAUCUGGCUUGCACUACUCAACCUCGUUACAACUGCGUGGAGUGGUGGGAAGUAGCGAUCACCCAGGGCACAACUAGGGCACUGAUGUGUGUUUUCAACCCCCACCCUGCUGACCCAUUAUCUUCCAGGGUGAGAGAGCAGAUCCAGCCCCUUCUCCUGGCCAAGACAGAAAGAAGCUCUUUGAAAAGGCAGGACCCAGGUAGUGACAGCAGCGGAAUAGGAAGGCAGCAGCGGAAUAGGAUGGUCUGUGGAGCCGCAUGGCAAGCAAGAUGCCGAGCAAGGAAGCAGGUGCUGGAGGCAUGUCUUCACUGCAGAGGGAGCUCAGGCUCUUACCCAGGUGUUUCUCCUAACUCCCAUCCAUACACAAAACUCUCUCGUCUGAGUUUGGGCCUUUCAACACAGGCUAGCUGGCCCAGCAGGGGACAUAGGCUAAUUGCCUCUCCUAGAGGAAUGGACAGGAGAGAGCACCCUUGGUGCUAGGCCUGGAGAGCCUUAACCAGCGGUUGGACUGCCCUCAGAGCCCAAGCUAGGAAUCACUAUGUUGUACCUUGAAAUAUUAUGGCUAGGCCACAGGAUUUACGGUACCUAAUGGCUAAGCCACAGUACCUAUGGUGUUUCCAUCAGCCCUGUCACUUUAGCCAUAUAGAUGAAUGUAGCAUCUUAUUCAGAGCUAGAGACUAUUGGGUUUUCAGUGCUGGCCUCUCAGUCAUGGUGCACCUUACCAGGUUUGCCGUAUUAUAGCAUAUAUUGAUUACAAUAUGCACCUGAUUGAUCAAAAACGUAUUGAAUUCUACGGAUUAGCUCCAUGGCUUUUUCUUUUCCUCUCCUUGUACCUAUUUAACCAGAGAGAAAAGCACAGUUAAACUUAGCCUCUGGUCUUUUUCAGAAUGGCCAAUUGCUAAUGUAUGGGCUCCCAACUACCAAAAAAAAAAAAAAAAAAGCCUCUCUAGGGUCCCUGGAAAGGAAGGCAAAGGUACAAAGGACUUUUGGGCCAACACAGGACUCUCACUGGACAAAGAGGGCAGGGAAAAG